GCUGUUCAGGUUCCAGUCCAGUCGAGCCCAGUCCAGGUUCCAGUUCAGUCGAGCCCAGUCCAGGUUCCAGUUCAGUCGAGCCCAGUCCAGGUUCCAGUUCAGUCGAGCCCAGUCCAGGUUCCCGUCCAGUCGAGCCCAGUUCAGGUCUCAGCCCAGUCGAGCCCAGUUCAGGUCUCAGCCCAGUCGAGCCCAGUCCAGUCGAGCCCAGUCCAGUCGAGCCCUGUCCAGUCGAGCCCUGUCCAGUCGAGCCCUGUCCCAGUACAGUCGAGCCCUGUCCCAGUACAGUCGAGCCCUGUCCCAGUACAGUCCAGUCACGCUCCUGUCCCAGUUCAAUCCAGUCACGCGCAGGUCUUGUCCCAGUCAGAGGACACCACCUGUCGAACGGGUGCUAGGCACACCCGAUCAGGCCCGACGUCUGCUCCGUCGGGCUCGGCGGUUGCAAGCAGCCAAGCCGGCUCCGGAGUAGACGCCGUCUCAGUCGCUGCCGGCUCCAGUGGGGAGCCUGGGGGCAGCGCCGCCGGCUCCAGUGGGGAGCCUGGGAGCAGCGCCGCCGGCUCCCGUGGGGAGCCUGAGAGCAGCGCCGCCGGCUCCCGUGAGGGGCCAGAGAGCAGCGCCGCCGGCUCCCGUGAGGGGCCAGAGAGCAGCGCUGCCGGCUCCUGUAAGGAUGCCGUUCCCGUCCCUGUUCCUGUCGGCCAUGUUGAGGCCGUCCCUGUUCCUGUCGGCCAUGUUGGGGCCGUUCUAGUUCCUGUCCCUGUCGGCCAUGUUGGGGCCGUUCCAGUUCCUGUCCCUGUCGGCCAUGUCGAGGCCGUUCUUGUCCCUGUCGGCCAUGUUGAAGCCGUUCUUGUCCCUGUCGGCCAUGUUGAAGCCGUUCUUGUCCCUGUCGGCCAUGUUGGGGCCGUUCCAGUUCCUGUUCCUGUCGGCCAAGUAGAUGCCGUUCCUGUUCCUGUCGGCCAAGUAGAUGCCGUUCCUGUUCCUGUCGGCCAAGUAGAUGCCGUUCCUGUUCCUGUCGGCCAAGUAGAUGCCGUUCCAGUCCCUGUCGGCCAAGUAGAUGCCGUUCCAGUCCCUGUCGGCCAAGUAGAUGCCGUUCCCGUCCCUGUAGGCCAAGUAGAUGCCGUUCCCGUCCCUGUAGGCCAAGUAGAGGUCGUUCCCGUCCCUGUAGGCCAAGUAGAGGUCGUUCCCGUCCCUGGUCCGGUUCCCGUUGGCCCUGUAGGGGCCGUUCCAGUCCCGGUCACCCUCGGAGCCGCAGCGCCCGCCGGCCUCCAGGAGGAGGCGGCGCCUGCUGCAGCUCCUGCGGACCUCCAGGAGGAGGUCGCGCCAGCUGCAGCUCCUGCGGACCUCCAGGAGGAGGUCGCGCCAGCUGCAGCUCCUGCGGACCUCCAGGAGGAGGUCGCGCCAGCUGCAGCUCCUGCGGACCUCCAGGAGGGGGUCGCGCCCGUCGCAGUCCCGGCGGACCUCCAGGAGGGGGUCGCGCCCGUCGCAGUCCCGGCGGACCUCCAGGAGGGGGUCGCGCCCGUCAUAGUUCCUGCCCACCUCCAGGAGGGUGUCGUUCCUGUCGCAGCCCCCGAUGCAUCGGUUCCUGGCGGCUCGGCUCUGGCCGCACCUGCAUCGGUUCCUGGCGGCCCGGCCGCACCUGCAUCGGUUCCUGGCGGCCCGGCCGCACCUGCAUCGGUUCCUGGCGGCCCGGCCGCACCUGCAUCGGUUCCUGGCGGCCCGGCCGCACCUGCAUCGGUUCCUGGCGGCUCGGCUCCGGCCGCACCUGCAUCGGUCCCUGGCGGCCCGGCGCUGACCGCGUGGCCACGUCUGUUCUCGCUUCGGCAGCUGGACUGGUGGCCUCGCCCUCGGCGCUUCCUGCCGUUUGGGUGGCGCUGCCUCCUGCGGCGCCGUCCGCCUCGGCUCCGCCGUCGUCAUGGCCGCUCGCCGGGGGAACGCCCCCUCCUGCCACAACGAUGGCGAGGCCUCUGCCGUCGUCGUCCGCCGCGACCCUGGGGUCCCCAGAGGAUCUUCGUCGGGAGUGGACUCUCCUGCCACCCCCCUCGUGGGGAACUCCCUGGACUCUGUGUUUUACCUGGUCGUGGACUUUGUUUUUGUCUUGUGGAUAUUCGUGUUGGGUUUUCUUGA
rnacentral:lncRNA from 1 species